ensembl:lncRNA novel transcript
AUGGCCCUAAGGAGACAAGUACAUUUGCUUGGAAAACUGGUCACCUAAUUCCCAAAAGGACAGAGCUAACAUUAUAUGUCUCAGCAUCCAGUCCAUCCUAGAUGGAUUUCGAUUCUAUCUAGGGAAUCUCAUCAAACAACCAGGGAGGAUCAACCACCAGAGAAAAGAAGAGACUGGGAGUCAUCACCAUGUCCCCAACAGAAUUUUCAUCUAUCCUUCUGAGGACAGCUCCAAGUGAUUACCUAGAGGACUUUGCUUCAUAAUAAGUCAACCUUCAUUCCUGUGCAGCCCCACCUCUCACCUUCCCAAAAUGUCUGCCUCCCAUCUUCUGGGUCCAUUCAUUCUCUCAAAUGAUUUGCUGCCCCUCAAAAGAAUUUUCCACGUUCCUCAUCUCUCCCCUCCCCUGGGAAAAAGCAUAUAUAAGCUUCUAUACCACCCUGGGUUAUUGGGUAAUCAUUCUCCAGCAAUUCUCCCAUCCUGUGCACAUCAAAUAAAUUCUGUAUGCGUUUUCUUUUA